AUCUAUACAACAUAAUGAAUUAAAUGGCUAUAUUCAUUCUGCUUUUUGGCUGCCAUGUCCUACAAAGUGAGGCUGUGGUUACACAAUUAGAGGUUCCUGCAGAUGCAGGCUGACUGCAGAGAUCCCUACAAAAAGAGGCAGUCUCUGAAGAAUGCUGCAUGCCUGCAAUACGGGUUAACAGUUGCUGGUCGGAUGAUGUUACCGGUUUCUGAAGCUUAUAUACUCAUCCAUACAUGAGAAUUGAGCUUUUCCAAAGGACCAGCGGCAGAAAGGACAGAUAAGCUGAAGUGGAUUUGAAUCACUGUGACUGAACAAUAUUUGAGAAGAAGGAAAUUUGAUCCAGUAAUGCUAUACUCCCCCUCCUAUUCUGCCACAAAACAGCGUAGGAAGGGAGUGAAACGUAAGAAAGCCUUCAUGACCAUUCGUGUUUGUAAAGACCUUACGUCAGUGGAAUAAAGGAUCUCUGCUUUAUAGCCAAUGGUCCCUCAAAACAACAUGGCUGCACACUUGUCCAGCCGCUCCAAGGUUCUGUGCACAGCAGUGAGCAUCGGCUCACCGACAGGGGCAUUGAUGUCCGGUUCUGGAAGAUGCUACUGCACACUGGACUCGAUGACCUGCGUAGCCGAGAAGAAAAUUAGAGGUGGAACUCAGCACAACCUUUGUGCCAUCUGUGUUUAAAUUUCAUGUUGCAUCCUGACGACACUGUCAACUUUCUACCUCAACCAAUGACACCUCCCAAAAUUGGAGCCAAUCGAUUAUUUAUCUUAUUUUCUGUUAGUGGGUCCGCAGGAUAUGGAAAUUUGCUGCUGUGUUCCAUGUUUAAAUAACAGAAAGUACAUUUCAUAAUGCGAAAUAAAGUGGUACACUGUACCUCUUGUACUUGAGCCCAUGGUUUGGAACACUGCAAGAUAAUAAAGUAUCAAUUCUUUUCACAUUUUCUCAUUACUAUCUUUUCUCUGGUGGGUUUGAUGGUGAAAUAGAGAAGAAGCAAGAGGAAACAACAUUACAAGCUAAAUGCACUGGAUGCUCUGCCUAAACUGUACAGCUCUGUGCAUCUGGAAAAGACACAGAACAAAACCUCGUGGGAGUGACAGAUAUUGUAAAUGUUCUGAGAAUUGU